GACGAACGCUGGCGGCGUGCUUAACACAUGCAAGUCGAACGGAAAGGCCUGCUUUCCCUUGUGGAUUGCGGGUACUCGAGUGGCGAACGGGUGAGUAACACGUGAGUGAUCUGCCCCCAACUUGGGUAUAAGCCUGGGUAACUGGGUCUAAUUCCCGAUAGGACUGCAGGGUGGUGCCUGUGGUGGAACAAGAUCUUCUCGUGGUUGGGGAUGAGCUCUCGGGCUAUCAGCUUGUUGGUGGGGUAAUGGCCUACCAAGGCGGCGACGGGUAGCCGGCCUGGGAGGGUGGACGGCGACAUUGGGACUGAGAUACGGCCCAGACUCCUACGGGAGUAAGCAGUGGGGAAUAUUGCACAAUAGUCGGAAGCCUGAUGCAGCGACGCCGCGUGAGGGAUGACGGCCUUCGAGUUGUAAACGCCUUUCGAGCGCGAGGAAGCCACCUGGUUGGAAGGGUGGUGACGGUAGUGGUAGAAGAAGCACCGGCUAACUACGUG
rnacentral:rRNA from 1 species